rfam:Schistosoma haematobium scaffold347_37, whole genome shotgun sequence.
AUCCACCUGACGUGUCCCAAAUAAGACGAAGCAUGCGUCCUGGAU